rnacentral:rRNA from 1 species
AUUGAACGCUGGCGGCAGGCCUAACACAUGCAAGUCGAGCGGAUGAAGGGAGCUUGCUCCUGGAUUCAGCGGCGGACGGGUGAGUAAUGCCUAGGAAUCUGCCUGGUAGUGGGGGAUAACGUAGGGAAACGGGCGCUAAUACCGCAUACGUCCUGAGGGAGAAAGUGGGGGAUCUUCGGACCUCACGCUAUCAGAUGAGCCUAGGUCGGAUUAGCUAGUUGGUGGGGUAAAGGCCUACCAAGCCGACGAUCCGUAACUGGUCUGAGAGGAUGAUCAGUCACACUGGAACUGAGACACGGUCCAGACUCCUACGGGAGGCAGCAGUGGGGAAUAUUGGACAAUGGGCGAAAGCCUGAUCCAGCCAUGCCGCGUGUGUGAAGAAGGUCUUCGGAUUGUAAAGCACUUUAAGUUGGGAGGAAGGGCAGUAAGUUAAUACCUUGCUGUUUUGACGUUACCAUCAGAAUAAGCACCGGCUAACUUCGUG